CCGCCUCCUGCCAUCCACAAGGACACUCUGCCCCUCCUCCUCCUGUCUCCUCUCUGAUUCUCCGACCUCCACUCCACAUAUUCACCAAGGGCUCUCUUGUAUAUUAACCUUUUCUCACUAGACCACUUGAGACAUUCUUUCAUAGGAAAGUGAUACCAUUAUUCAUGCCCCACCUUUUAAAGAUAGAUUAGCUGAGAAAUCAUGAAACUGGCCUUGCUUUCAACUAAUCAGUGUUGAAACUGGAAUUAAAACCCAUUGAGAUGAAUGGAACACACAAGCUAACACUGAAACUUCGUAUUCUUUCAACUACUCCAUGGGACAGUUAUUCGCAUCAGUUCCUUUUUAUAUCACACAGAAAUUUCCUUUUGAGGUUUUCUUUAAAGAAAUUAAGAGCCAUAGCAAUUACUAUGUUAAGAAUUAGAGUAAUAAUAAAUAGCUAUCAUUUUAUGUAGUAAGUAUCAAGCAUGAGCUAUGUGUCUUACAAAUAUCUCAUUUAAUCCUCAUAAAAAUUAUUAUGUAGGUACUUCUGUUAUAUGUCACUUAACGAUGGGAUAUGUUCCGAAAAAUGUGUCCUUAGGUGUUUCAUUGUGUGAACGUCAUAGAGUGUAUCUUCACAAACUAGAUGGUAUACCCUCCUACACACCUAGACUAUAUGGUAUAGCCUAUUGGUCCUAGGCUACAAACCUAUACAGCCUGUUACUGUACUGAGUACUAUAGGCAAUUGUAACCAUAAGUAAGUAUGCGUAUAUCCAAACAUAGAAAAAGUACAGAAAAAAAUGCCAUAUUAUAAUCUUAAGAAACCACUGUCAUAUAUUUGAACUGUCAUUGACCAGAAUGCCAUUAAUUGAUGUAUGACUGUAUUAUUUUUAUAUUAUGAAUGACUAUUUUUUUGCCUUUAUUUUCUUAAGUAUAUAAACUUCACUAUUAAAGAAGUGUAACUCUGACAAGAUCUCUUUGAAGGCAACAUGCAGAAUCUCAAAAGGCCACAUGUAGAAUAUUCAAAAAGUGUUGAAGUUUCAAAAAUCUUCUAAUAUUUUAAAUGCCUAAUAGACAUAAAACAAAAGGUGAAUAAAAGGAAGAUCAUUUCAAAGUUCAAUUCAUGUGCAAUCUUCAGAUUUAAAAUUCAAAUCUCAAGUUCAUCUCAAGGCUUCCUGCUACAAUGGUAGUCAACAUAGUGACACCAAGAACAGCCUGAUCUUACUCUCAGCAUCCAGACCUUUCAGGGACUGGGAUAGCUGGCUGAUGGAUGGUUUACGGUCGGAAAAGGUGGCUGCACACAUGGAUGGGAUACACAAGGUGGCUUGUAAAACUUAUGAGCCAUGCUCUGUAGUGUGACCUGGGUGAAGUAUGGUUAGGCUCCAGAGGAGGGAUAAUUAAAAGCAAUUAAGUGCUGCUGGAGAGAUGGCAGAAUUCAGCUCAGACUUCACGGCUGUGCAAACCCAGUCUGGGUGAAGGCCAGAAGCCCAAAACCCUCACCUUAUUUACUUAAGGAAAAAAACCAACAGAUUAUGAAGCCAUGAGUGCCAUCAAUAGGACAACAUUUAAUAGGGUCUGAAAAAUAUUUUUGCGCCCCCGUGCAUCCCAAGGAGCUGCACUGUCUGCCUAUCAGAGGUACACCCUGGGGUUCCUUCACUAUGUCCUCAUACAAUGCCAAUGCAAAAGAAAAGAGUCAUUCACAUCUCAAUGCAUUCUUUUCUCUAAUUUCUUGGCCAUCACCUUAAAGAGAAGAGCCUCAGGGAAUGAGAGGACAGAGGAAAGUGGUCUGGAGAAGAAAGUGGGAAACACAAUAUUUGAGGACAGAGAGAGUUCUGUGUAGAAACGCAAGAGGUGGGAUUCUGGGGUAUAGGAUAGGACAGAGUCAGAAGAAUCCCGCAAAACCAACGGGUGGGUGCCGCUUUAGGAUCAGGGCCAACAUAAGCCUAAUGGAGUGCCUUGGUUUCCUAGGCAACUGGGAAUAAUAAUACUCAGAAGGUGGUUACAGGCACCUGGUUAAGUGCUAGCCUCUCUAAUAGUCAUCUAUAAUUACCAUUUUAUUACUCUUAAUAUUAUAACCUACUUGAUAUGUUCUUAAUUCCUCUUAUAACUGUCUUCUUUUUCUUUGGGCAGAAAUAACAAUUGUUAUCAUGUCAUCCCCUCCACAAUGAAGUAAGGAAGCAUAAGUCCUGGAUUAAGAUUAAAUGUGCUCAAAUGUAUGCAGAAAGCAAAAACACUAGGAAUUCUGAGUAACCGGGCUCUUCACUGCCUGUAUCCCCCCAGGAAAACAAAAGCAAAGCUUUUACACACAGGAUGUUAGUUAUU
rnacentral:lncRNA from 10 species